UCCUUGGCGGUCCAGUGGCUAAGACACUGCAUUCCCAGUGCAGGGGGCCAGGGUUCAAUUCUUGGUCAGGGAG
rnacentral:tRNA from 1 species